rnacentral:rRNA from 1 species
UAUAUUCAAGAUUAGCCAUGCAUGUCUCAGUAUAAGCUUCUAUACGGCGAAACUGCGAAUGGCUCAUUAAAACAGUUAUAGUUUAUUUGGUGGUCAGCAAUUACAUGGAUAACCGUGGUAAUUCUAGAGCUAAUACAUGCGCCCAAACCCGACUUCGUGGAAGGGUUGUGUUUAUUAGAUACAGAACCAACCCAGGCUCCGCCUGGCCUUGAGGUGAUUCAUAAUAACCGAACGAAUCGCAUGGCUAUGCCGGCGAUAGACCAUUCAAGUUUCUGACCUAUCAGCUAUCGUCGGUAGGGUAUUGGCCUACCGUGGCAAUGACGGGUAACGGAGAAUUAGGGUUCGAUUCCGGAGAGGGAGCCUGAGAAACGGCUACCACAUCUAAGGAAGGCAGCAGGCGUGCAAAUUACCCAAUCCUGACGCAGGGAGGUAGUGACAAGAAAUAACAAUACAGGGCAUACAUGUCUUGUAAUUGGAAUGAGUAAACUUUAAAUCACUUU